AUUUAAGGGCUGACUGCCCUUAAGGAAGGAUCAUUUUCCUGGAGAUCCCUUCUUGGUGGGAGCCUUUGCCUGUGAGCCUGAAAUCUUCUGAUCUAGUAGAGCUCUGCUCAUAUGGAUGAGUGGUGGAGGGGCUUUGGGGCUCCAGAAGAGGAAAUGAUCUCCCCAAGACCGGCUCCGACUGAAGGCAUCUUCUCACCCGGGGCGUGCCUGACUGAGCCAUAAAGUUCUACCUUUUUCCAGCCUGCUUCAAGCUGCAUCCCCCACCACGCAGAGCAGUUCCUCAAGCUGACUCGGAACAGAAGGGCUGCUGCUUUGGUGCCACUUCCCUGCUCUGUUGCUUGGGGAACUCUUCUUACCCUGUCUGGCCUGCUUCUCUUCUGCCUGCGUGGCUUGGCCACCAGAGUUUGCUGAUCGGACAUUCUUGUCCACGGAAAAGUGAAUGGGAAUGGUAGGUAACAGCAUAGUGGUUUUCAGUUAUUUGUUUCAGAUGUGGUUGUCAGAUAAAAAACUGAGAAGGCUGUUUUACAAACUACCCAUCCAGACAGGCUACUACAGGACUGAGAAGCCAGAAAAACCAUACUGUCCAUUACGGAGACCGUGCAAAUAAGCAUAAUUUUGUUACACUUGCAUGUUUUAGAGUAUGACAGUGUUUUUAAGCUUGAAGAACUUGGAGGUAAACACUUUAAUUAAUCAUUCUAACAGUUUUCAACUUUCAAAGUAAAUUAUUUGUUUUAAAGGUU